rnacentral:rRNA from 1 species
AGUAACACGUGGGUAACCUGCCUUAUAGUGGGGGAUAGCCUUUCGAAAGGAAGAUUAAUACCGCAUAAGAUUGUAGUAUCGCAUGAUAUAGCAAUUAAAGGAGCAAUUCGCUAUAAGAUGGACCCGCGUCGCAUUAGCUAGUUGGUGAGGUAAUGGCUCACCAAGGCGACGAUGCGUAGCCGACCUGAGAGGGUGAUCGGCCACAUUGGGACUGAGACACGGCCCAAACUCCUACGGGAGGCAGCAUG